rnacentral:rRNA from 1 species
GAUGAACGCUAGCUACAGGCUUAACACAUGCAAGUCGAGGGGUUUCGAAGAGCUUGCUCCGAGAAACGACCGGCGCACGGGUGAGUAACGCGUAUCCAACCUGCCCUUNAUAUUGGGAUAGCCUUCCGAAAGGGAGAUUAAUACCGAAUAACAUAGAGUGGUUGCCUGAUUUCUCUAUGAAAGCUCCGGCGAUGAAGGAUGGGGAUGCGUUCCAUUAGAUAGUAGGCGGGGUAACGGCCCACCUAGUCUACGAUGUCUAGGGGUUCUGAGAGGAAGGUCCCCCACACUGGAACUGAGACACGGUCCAGACUCCUACGGGAGGCAGCAGUGAGGAAUAUUGGUCAAUGGUCGGAAGACUGAACCAGCCAAGUAGCGUGAAGGAUGAAGGUUCUAUGGAUUGUAAACUUCUUUUAUACGGGAAUAAAACCUCCCACGUGUGGGAGCUUGUAUGUACCGUAUGAAUAAGCAUCGGCUAACUCCGUG